AACGAACGCUGGCGGCAGGCCUAACACAUGCAAGUCGAACGCCGUAGCAAUACGGAGUGGCAGACGGGUGAGUAACACGUGGGAACAUACCCUUCGGUUCGGAAUAACUCAGGGAAACUUGAGCUAAUACCGGAUACGUCCGCGAGGAGAAAGAUUCAUCGCCGGAGGAUUGGCCCGCGUCUGAUUAGCUUGUUGGUGAGGUAAUGGCCUACCAAGCCUGCGAUCUAUAGCUGGUCUGAGAGGAUGAUCAGCCACACUGGGACUGAGACACGGCCCAGACUCCUACGGGAGGCAGCAGUGGGGAAUAUUGGACAAUGGGGGAAACCCGUAGAUCCAGCAAUAGCCGCGUGAGUGAUGAAGGCCUUCGGUUGGU
rnacentral:rRNA from 1 species